ACAGGAACCCUGGAGGUUAGAAAAUAACAUAACGCUGAAAAGAAAGUUGUGUGAAUAAGAAGAAGGGAGGAACGAGAGGAGGAGGACUUAAGAAGCGAUACAAAGCGUUACAGGUCAAAAGAAGAAGAAGAAGACUAAUAUAGUCUCCUUGGUCGGGAAUCGGGACCCUGCGACGGGCCGUCGCACCGACAAAGGCCCGUUCCCCCUUUUUAGGGGGAGAAUCCUAAAAGAAGAAGAAGAAGAAUCGGGACUCUAUCAAGGGACUCUACUACCCCCCGAACCAGGACCAAGACCAAGACCAUCAGCUGACCGGGUGCGAUCAGCUGCUCCUGUGUACCUGUGUCUUUAAGCUCUCUUGAAGUGUUCCAGCCGUGACGUGUGAAUGUGACAGCCAUGAUCAGGCUGGCUCUGACGUUCGGGGCGGGGAUGUACGCCGGCAUCUACAUCACCCAGAAUUAUGAUGUGCCGCGUGUGGACGAGCCCUCCAAGCUCUGGGAGAAGGUGAAGGAGUGGGCCGAGUCUCACAAGAAGAAGGACUAACAACGGCCAACUCUAGACUAAGGUCCUCCAUCCACACCACACAUCAUUCCUUUCCCUCCCACGUUGGUGUACAUAAUUGUCAGGUAGAGUUGUCAUGUCAAGCCGUGGGGAGUGUCACGUCUAAUUAUACAAAAGCUUAACGCUCAGCUUCUAGCAAUGGCUGGGUGACAGUGGAGGAUUGUGUACACAAAUAUCAUCAUUAGAGCACUGUGCCUUGCUACUAAGAAUGCACAGAGAGGUCACCUGUAUGCAAAUGUCCUCAAGGCAAUGUACUUCCUUGCAAAGAACUCACAGAUAAGGUUAUUCCACUCGUACGUAAAUAGAGCACUGUGAUUCCUUGCUAAGAAUGCACAGGUAGAUAGGUUACUGUGUUACUGUACCCGUAUGUCUUGAAGGCAAUAUAUUUCCUUGUUAAGAACUCAUAGAUGAGGUUAUUCCACCCAUACAUAACCAGGGUAGUGUGAUUCCUUGCUAAGAAUGCACAGAAAAACAGAUCAUCAUAUUCCUGUAAGCACAAAGAUUACUGACUACACAAGACAUGCAAUGUACAGUGCUUAUUGUGUUGUGGGUCUGUACACUGUUGAGUAAUGCUAUGUUGGGUCUAUGCAAUGCUCAGUAAUGUUAUCCUGGCGCUCUGCAGUGCUUAGUAAUGCUAAGAGAGGUCUGUACUAACCACUAUGGGGACUCCUGCAGUUGCCUCAUGAAGCUCUCAAUAAAUAUCAGUCAUUUAUAACAUUAAGGUUAAAAAAGGGUAUUAUUUGAUUGUAUUCUCCAUCCCUUGAGGCAACAGUAUUAAGAGUGUGUCUGAACAUAGCCACAGAAACCAGUGUGUUGGCAUGUGUUGAGGCAGUCAUGAGGAAGCUGUUGCCAUACAUUGAGUGCUGCUGUAGUGGCACUAUGAUGGAGUUUAGUUAUGUAACACUGCAAUGGGGUGUAGUAAUUUAAGUGAGGAUGAAGUCAGGAAGUUAAGAUAGAAUUCAAGUAUUAUUACAUCCAAACUGUGCACAGAAUCAGUUAUCAGCAUUUCAGAGUGUAACUUUGUCACUAGCAUAAAAAACAUAAUAUUGAUAAGGAAGUUAAUUAAGGCAGUGAUGCAAUAGUACAUACAAGCCGUGUAAUGUCAGUCACCAAUGUGUCAAACUGUUCUGAAUAUUUUUUGUUUGGUUUAAAAGUAAAGUGAGGGAAUGUAAGAGGAGGAGUAACAGGCUUCUUGUUGAUUCUUUAGGGAUAUUAUUGCAAGGAAUCAUUGCCUCCCUAGACCGUCAAGAUGUUCCGAAGAAUACUUGGAAGGUAUAAAUGUUAAGUUUUAAAAAUUUUACCAAAUGAAUUCACUUGUUACUGAUCACCUUUAAGUGUUGGUUAAAGUACUCUCUAUGGAAUGUGGGAGAUGACUUAAGUUAUGCAGAGAGGAGACUGAUUAUAACCACCAGCAUUUUAAUAUAAGUGGGAAAUGAUUACAAGUAUGUGGGGAGGAGGAAGAGUAAGAUCACUUGAGAUAAGAUACAGAUUAAUGGAGAUAACAAAUCAUUAUCAUCAGCAUUGUUAACAGAAGUGGUGGAUGAGGCAGAAAAAGGGAGAUGAUGAAGCUAAGGAUCACUGCCAUUGUAAUUAUGUGGGAGGUGAGACACAGAUUAAGGGACAAGACUAAAGUUAUGAGCACUAGCAUACUAUAUUUUCAUCAGCAUUAUUAAUAUAAGCACGAUGAGACAAAAUAAGGGAAAUGACUAGUUAUUUUCAUCAGCAUUGUUAUAUUAGUGAAGGCUGGAGACAUGCAUACGAUUAACUGAUUGUUUCUUCGAUGAUGAGGUUCACAUAUUUAUACUUUACCGAGGAUAAGACAUGAAAGCCUAUACAUAAACACUUAUUUUCACUACUUUUUGUUUCUUUUGGUGCAGGAGACAAGUCCGAUCUUUAGCAGCCUCUCUGUUCCGGCCCAGGAUCAUUAGGUCAUGCUGCAGUCGCCUUAGCCCUUCUUCGGUCCACCUCUCCCUACUUUACCCUGAGCCGCUCCCUCCUCACCCCACCAAGUGCUUAAAGCUAGGUUAGGUUAGGUUAAGUUAGUGCCAAGUGACUGAGGGAAUUCAGUGCCGUCAGUCCUUGUUCUAAUUUUAGUUUUCCCUUUUGUUAGAAGAGGAAGAAUGAUUACCUAAGCUACAAUCCUGCCUUGAUAGUAGGACUCAGUUAAAUCAAUGUCCUGUGAUAGGGAACUUUUGAAAAGACUUAGAACUUGAGAAUAAAACUAUGAUGCAU